rnacentral:rRNA from 1 species
AGUCGAACGGAAAGGCCCCUUCGGGGGUACUCGAGUGGCGAACGGGUGAGUAACACGUGGGUGAUCUGCCCUGCACUUUGGGAUAAGCCUGGGAAACUGGGUCUAAUACCGAAUAGGACCGCAUGCUUCAUGGUGUGUGGUGGAAAGCUUUUGCGGUGUGGGAUGGGCCCGCGGCCUAUCAGCUUGUUGGUGGGGUAAUGGCCUACCAAGGCGACGACGGGUAGCCGGCCUGAGAGGGUGUCCGGCCACACUGGGACUGAGAUACGGCCCAGACUCCUACGGGAGGCAGCAGUGGGGAAUAUUGCACAAUGGGCGCAAGCCUGAUGCAGCGACGCCGCGUGGGGGAUGACGGCCUUCGGGUUGUAAACCUCUUUCAGUAUCGGCGAAGCUCCAAGGUUUUCUUUGGGGUGACGGUAGGUACAGAAGAAGCACCGGCCAACUACGUGCCAGCAGCCGCGGUAAUACGUAGGGUGCGAGCGUUGUCCGGAAUUACUGGGCGUAAAGAGCUCGUAGGUGGUUUGUCACGUUGUCCGUGAAAACUCACAGCUUAACUGUGGGCGUGCGGGCGAUACGGGCAGACUAGAGUACUGUAGGGGAGACUGGAAUUCCUGGUGUAGCGGUGGAAUGCGCAGAUAUCAGGAGGAACACCGGUGGCGAAGGCGGGUCUCUGGGCAGUAACUGACGCUGAGGAGCGAAAGCGUGGGGAGCGAACAGGAUUAGAUACCCUGGUAGUCCACGCCGUAAACGGUGGGUACUAGGUGUGGGUUUCCUUCCUUUAGGGAUCCGUGCCGUAGCUAACGCAUUAAGUACCCCGCCUGGGGAGUACGGCCGCAAGGCUAAAACUCAAGGGAAUUUGAC